UAACGACUCUCGGCAACGGAUAUCUCGGCUCUCGCAUCGAUGAAGAACGUAGCGAACUGCGAUACUUGGUGUGAAUUGCAGAAUCCCGUGAACCAUCGAGUCUUUGAACGCAAGUUGCGCCCGAGCCAUUUGGACGANGGCACGUUUGCCUGGGUGUCA
rnacentral:rRNA from 1 species